rnacentral:rRNA from 1 species
UGCCAGACUCCUACGGGAGGCAGCAGUGGGGAAUAUUGCACAAUGGGGGGAACCCUGAUCCAGCGACGCCGCGUGAGUGAAGAAGUAUUUCGGUAUGUAAAGCUCUCUCAGCAGGGAAGAAAGAAAUGACGGUACCUGACUAAGAAGCCCCGGCUAACUACGUGCCAGCAGCCGCGGUAAUACGUGGGGGGCAAGCGUUAUCCGGAUUUACUGGGCGUAAAGGGAGCGUAGACGGCGAUGCAAGUCUGAAGUGAAAGGCGGGGGCCCAACCCCCGGACUGCUUUGGAAACUGUAUGGCUGGAGUGCAGGAGAGGUAAGUGGAAUUCCUAGUGUAGCGGUGAAAUGCGUAGAUAUUAGGAGGAACACCGGCGGCGAAGGCGGCCUGCUGGACCGCGACUGACGUUGAGGCUCGAAAGCGUGGGGAGCGAACAGGAUUAGAUACCCGAGUAC